GAUGAACGCUAGCGGCAGGCCUAACACAUGCAAGUCGAGGGGUAUGGCAGCAAUGCCAGAGACCGGCGCACGGGUGCGUAACGCGUAUGCAACCUACCUUUUACAGGGGAAUAGCCCAGAGAAAUUUGGAUUAAUGCCCCAUGGUAUAUCGAGAUGGCAUCAUCAUGAUAUUAAAGUUCCAACGGUAAAAGAUGGGCAUGCGUCCUAUUAGCUGGAUGGUAAGGUAACGGCUUACCAUGGAUACGAUAGGUAGGGGUCCUGAGAGGGAGAUCCCCCACCCUGGUACUGGGCCACGGACCAGACUCCUACGGGAGGCAGCAGUGAGGAGUAUUGGCAAAUGGGCGCAAGCCUGAUCCAGCCAUGCCGCGUGCAGGAAGACGGUCCUAUGGAUUGUAAACUGCUUUUGUACGGGAAGAAACACUCCUACGUGUAGGAGCUUGACGGUACCGUAAGAAUAAGGAUCGGCUAACUCCGUGCCAGCCGCCGCGGUAAUAC
rnacentral:rRNA from 1 species